AGGACGAACGCUGGCGGCGUGCUUAACACAUGCAAGUCGAACGAGGAAUGCCGAAAAGCUUGCUUUUAGCAUUCGAGUGGCGGACGGGUGAGUAACGCGUGAGGAACCUGUCUUCUGCAGGGGGAUAACGUGCCGAAAGGAACGCUAAUACCGCAUAAGACCACGGUGCCGCAUGGCACAGGGGUCAAAGGAGAGAUCCGGCAGAAGGUGGCCUCGCGUCCCAUUAGGCAGUUGGCGGGGUAACGGCCCACCAAACCUGCGAUGGGUAGCCGACCUGAGAGGGUGAUCGGCCACAUUGGAACUGAGACACGGUCCAAACUCCUACGGGAGGCAGCAGUGGGGAAUAUUGGGCAAUGGGCGCCAAGCCUGACCCAGCAACGCCGCGUGAGGGAAGAAGGUUUUCGGAUUGUAAACCUCUGUCCCGGGAGACGAGCAGGAGACGGUAUCCCGGGAGGAAGCCCCGGCUAACUACGUGCCAGCCGCGGC
rnacentral:rRNA from 1 species